rnacentral:rRNA from 1 species
AUGUGGACCUGUCUUCGUCAGCGCUAUGAGCCCUCUGGUGAUGCCUUAUACCUUUCUGUGGUUCGUCAGGAGCACGCUCUUCAGCAGGGUGACUCUACUGUUGAUGACUUUUAUGCACAAAGUUCUGCUAUCUGGCGCCAGCUUGAUUCUCUCCGCAGUGCUGGUUGUCGUACUUGCCCCUGCUGCCAGGCUGUCCAGGCCGAUUUGGAGUUUCAUCGCGUCUACGAGUUCCUGUCUCGGCUCCGUAAGGAGUUUGAGCCCCGGCGUGCUCAGUUGUUUGCUCGUGGCCGUAUUUCUCUCAUGGAGGCGCUUUCAGAGAUUCGUGCUGAGGAGACUCGCCUACGUGGUGCUGGUUUGCUGGAGGUUCCCUCCGUGCUCGCUACUCGGGCUUCUUCCACUCCACCUGCUGCACCGCCCCAUUCUCGCUCGAGUGCUCCGCCGCUCUUGCCCACUCCUUCUGGAGGCUCAGGUCGCCCCCGUCCACAUUGUGACUACUGCAACAAUGAUGGUCAUAUUGAGUCCCAGUGCUACACAAAGCGGAAACACCUGCGCAAGGCGCGAUCAUCCUCCUCAGGGACUUCGUCAUCUCCCUCGCCAGCUUCAGCCAUUGCUUUGACUGAGCAGGAUAUUCUGAGACUUAAGCGUCUCCUCGCGGCUUCAGGUUCUUCCUCCACGGGUACUGUUGGUUCUGUGACUGAUGCUUCCCGCACUGAGCACCCGCCCUCUACACAGUCAGGUACAUCCCCAUGGGUUAUGGACUCUGGAGCUUCUUUUCAUAUGUCUUCUCAUUCUUCCGCUUUGUCCUCUCUUCGAUCGCUGGAUUCUCCUGUUCAUGUCUUCACUGCUGAUGGUAAUCCACUUUCUGUUGCUAGUAGAGGCCAUCUUUCCACUCCUUCUUAUUCUGUUCCUGAUGUUGCUCAUGUUCCUUGA